rnacentral:rRNA from 1 species
UUAAGCGAAUAAGCGUACACGGUGGAUGCCUAGGCAAUCAGAGGCGAUGAAGGACGUGCUAAUCUGCGAAAAGCGUCGGUAAGGUGAUAUGAACCGUUAUACCCGACGAUAUCCGAAUGGGGAAACCCAGUAUCCAAUGGAUACUAUCAUUAACUGAAUCCAUAGGUUAAUGAGGCGAACCGGGAGAACUGAAACAUCUCAGUACCCCGAGGAAAAGAAAUCAACCGAGAUUCCCCUAGUAGCGGCGAGCGAACGGGGAGCAGCCCAGAGUCUUAAUCAAUAGCAGUGUCAGGAGAACGGUCUGGAAAGUCCGGCAGUAAAGGGUGAUAGCCCCGUAUCUGAAGAUGCUGUUAUUGUGAACUCGACGAGUAGGGCGGGACACGUGUUAUCCUGUCUGAAUAUGGGGGGACCAUCCUCCAAGGCUAAAUACUCCUGAUUGACCGAUAGUGAACCAGUACCGUGAGGGAAAGGCGAAAAGAACCCCGGCGAGGGGAGUGAAAAAGAACCUGAAACCGUGUACGUACAAGCAGUAGGAGCCUCUUUAUGGGGUGACUGCGUACCUUUUGUAUAAUGGGUCAGCGACUUAUAUUCUGUAGCGAGGUUAACCGUAUAGGGGAGCCGUAGGGAAACCGAGUCUUAACUGGGCGAAUGAGUUGCAGGGUAUAGACCCGAAACCCGGUGAUCUAUCCAUGGGCAGGUUGAAGGUUGGGUAACACUAACUGGAGGACCGAACCGACUAAUGUUGAAAAAUUAGCGGAUGACUUGUGGAUAGGGGUGAAAGGCCAAUCAAACCGGGAGAUAGCUGGUUCUCCCCGAAAGCUAUUUAGGUAGCGCCUCGUGAACUCAUCUUCGGGGGUAGAGCACUGUUUCGACUAGGGGGUCAUCCCGACUUACCAACUCGAUGCAAACUGCGAAUACCGAAGAAUGUUAUCACGGGAGACACACGGCGGGUGCUAACGUCCGUCGUGAAGAGGGAAACAACCCAGACCGCCAGCUAAGGUCCCAAAGUCAUGGUUAAGUGGGAAACGAAGUGGGAAGGCUCAGACAGCCAGGAUGUUGGCUUAGAAGCAGCCAUCAUUUAAAGAAAGCGUAAUAGCUCACUGGUCGAGUCGGCCCGCGCGGAAGAUGUAACGGGGCUAAACCAUGCACCGAAGCUGCGGCAGCGACACAAAGUGUUGUUGGGUAGGGGAGCGUUCUGUAAGCCUGCGAAGGUGUACUGUGAGGUAUGCUGGAGGUAUCAGAAGUGCGAAUGCUGACAUAAGUAACGAUAAUGCGGGUGAAAAACCCGCACGCCGGAAGACCAAGGGUUCCUGUCCAACGUUAAUCGGGGCAGGGUGAGUCGACCCCUAAGGCGAGGCUGAAAAGCGUAGUCGAUGGGAAACGGGUUAAUAUUCCCGUACUGGUGGUAACUGCGAUGGGGGAACGGAGAAGGCUAGGUUGUCCGGGCGACGGUCGUCCCGGUUCAAGCAGGUAGGCAGAGUGAUUAGGCAAAUCCGGUCACUUAAUGCUGAGAUGUGAUGACGAACCACCAAGGUGGUGAAGCAAUUGAUGCCCCGCUUCCAGGAAAAGCCUCUAAGCUUCAGGUUACCAACAAUCGUACCCCAAACCGACACAGGUGGUCAGGUAGAGAAUACUCAGGCGCUUGAGAGAACUCGGGUGAAGGAACUAGGCAAAAUGGUGCCGUAACUUCGGGAGAAGGCACGCUGGCGGUAGGUAAAGUCCCUCGCGGACGGCGCUGAAGCCAGUCGAAGAUACCAGCUGGCUGCAACUGUUUAUUAAAAACACAGCACUGUGCAAACACGAAAGUGGACGUAUACGGUGUGACGCCUGCCCGGUGCUGGAAGGUUAAUUGAUGGGGUUAGCCGUAAGGCGAAGCUCCUGAUCGAAGCCCCAGUAAACGGCGGCCGUAACUAUAACGGUCCUAAGGUAGCGAAAUUCCUUGUCGGGUAAGUUCCGACCUGCACGAAUGGCGUAAUGAUGGCCAGGCUGUCUCCACCCGAGACUCAGUGAAAUUGAACUCGCUGUGAAGAUGCAGUGUACCCGCGGCAAGACGGAAAGACCCCGUGAACCUUUACUAUAGCUUGACACUGAACAUUGAGCCUUGAUGUGUAGGAUAGGUGGGAGGCUUUGAAGUGUGGACGCCAGUCUGCAUGGAGCCAACCUUGAAAUACCACCCUUUAACGUUUGAUGUUCUAACCUAGGCCCAUAAACUGGGUCGGGGACCGUGUCUGGUGGGUAGUUUGACUGGGGCGGUCUCCUCCUAAAGAGUAACGGAGGAGCACGAAGGUUGGCUAAGCAUGGUCGGACAUCAUGCGGUUAGUGCAAAGGCAUAAGCCAGCUUGACUGCGAGAGUGACGGCUCGAGCAGGUACGAAAGUAGGUCUUAGUGAUCCGGUGGUUCUGAAUGGAAGGGCCAUCGCUCAACGGAUAAAAGGUACUCCGGGGAUAACAGGCUGAUACCGCCCAAGAGUUCAUAUCGACGGCGGUGUUUGGCACCUCGAUGUCGGCUCAUCACAUCCUGGGGCUGAAGUAGGUCCCAAGGGUAUGGCUGUUCGCCAUUUAAAGUGGUACGCGAGCUGGGUUUAGAACGUCGUGAGACAGUUCGGUCCCUAUCUGCCGUGGGCGUUGGAAGAUUGAGAGGGGUUGCUCCUAGUACGAGAGGACCGGAGUGAACGCACCACUGGUGUUCGGGUUGUCAUGCCAAUGGCAUUGCCCGGUAGCUAAGUGCGGAAGAGAUAACCGCUGAAAGCAUCUAAGCGGGAAACUUGCCUCGAGAUGAGUCUUCCCUGUCGCUUUAAGCGACCUAAAGGAACGUUUAAGACUAAGACGUUGAUAGGCUGGGUGUGUAAGCGUAGCGAUACGUUGAGCUAACCAGUACUAAUGAACCGUGAGGCUUAACCUG